GUGAUUAAAGAAAUCCCCGGACCCUGUCAGAACCUCUGAAUCAGCACACAUACACUGAGAUGUUUAAGCCAUGUUUAAGGGACCAACAGCAGAACUGAUACAGGAUCCGUCGGGAUCCGUCUCAGGAUAAUGGAAAUCCUCCUGAUGAUAGCAGGCCCAUAAACCACGCAUGUAGAGGGGAGUAGGACAUCUACAACAGGGGGACGAGGACGAGGAACUCAUGCAUCAUAAGAGACUCCAGCUCACUACCUGUUUGCCGCCCCUCCCCUCAGGAAAGAGGCUGCGGAGUACCAGGGCAAGGACCACCUGGCAGAGAAACAGCUGCUGCCCUGAUGAUCAGCAUCUCUGCUACGCAAUACGCUGGAACAAGCUAGGAGGAGAAGAAGGGGCAGGACUCUAAUGAGAAGAUGUGAGCUGGCAGUCUGGGUAGCUGUUUCUGAUUUCUGAUCAGGAUGAGUUGAUGCUGAACAGGAAAGAUGCUGUCAGGCUUGCAAAUCCAUGCCGAAGCACUCGAC
rnacentral:lncRNA from 1 species